rnacentral:rRNA from 1 species
CAAUAGCGUAUAUUAAAGUUGUUGCGGUUAAAAAGCUCGUAGUUGGAUUUCGGCUGAUUCUAACCGUCCUUUCCUUCGGGAAAGCGUCUGUGUAGAUGAAGCAAUUUCUGGUAUGCGUGGUAGGCCCUUGAAUGAGCUGCCCGCAUUCUAGAUCAUUUACUUUGAGGAAAUUAGAGUGUUUCAAGCAGGCGACUGCCUUGAAUAUAUUAGCAUGGAAUAAUAAGAUAGGACUUCGAUCCUAUUUUGUUGGUUUCUGGGACUGAAGUAAUGAUUAAUAGGGACAGUCGGGGGCAUUCGUACUUAACUGUCAGAGGUGGAAUUCUUGGAUUUGUUAAAGACGAACUAGUGCGAAAGCAUUUGCCAAGGAUGUUUUCAUUGA